AUGUGAGGAGUAAAGUGCAGUGCUUAUGUGGGUAAAUCAUGGUGUUGGUAAGAGGAACAUUUUGGGAGCUCUUCCUGAAAGCUGAAUGGCACAUAUAAAUAUAAAGAGCUGCUACAUAAAAUAACCCUCAGUAGAAAUGCCUGCCCAAUAAGCUUUGUGUAUGUAUUACUUACACUAGGUCAGCUAAACGAGAGGAUUUUCAUAACUAUGGCAUUGAUUCUGCCAAAACUAGAGAAGCCUGACUAUGUUCUCUGGUACCACUCUAAGGUUCAUGCUGUAAAUAUGUCUGUGCAGGGUCAGCCCUGAGUCUGAUCAAUUCUGGAAAAGCAUCACAGACCAAAUCUAAGCCUAGUUCAUCCUCCAGUACUGCAGUAGAGCACUAAACAGUAGAGCGCUCAUUUUCUCUCACUAAAAGGAGCCUCUUCUAGAAAAAACCUUUUGCCAGAUAAUUAUGUCAUUUUGGUUUAUCUUUGUGUCCUUUGCCUUCCUUUCUCUGAGUUUAUCUUGACUUUCUUUUUACAGUAGUUCCCAUGGUAUUACUCUGCUGUAAAUUCAGCUGCGGUUCAUAAUUAUCUUUGAAAAACACACAUGCAUAAAUAGCUACCAGGAAUAUAUUAUUUGUUUGUUUUCAUUAUAAAACUCAUAAUAGAGACUAGCACUGAUGGUUUUGAGGAAGGCCUCCCUGGAGAUAAGCAGAAUUUUCCAUGUGUCUGUGAAAUGAAAUAACGGGCGCCUGCUGACUUGUAUUUAUCAUUGCAGAGUGUUCUGACUAACAGCUGGGCUUUUGCUAACAACAACAAAAAAAGUCUUACUCAAGGUACUAUAUUUGUCAUUUGUCUAGAUUUUGGAACAGUAUUAAAUAUGUGGGUUUUUUUCAUUUAUUUAGUCCGUGGCAAUCCAUCCAAGGUACAGAUUCUCAGCUGAUAAUGAAGGAACAUAGCAGGGCAGAAUCUAGCUGCAAAUGUCUGUGCUGCAAACAAACCCACUGUCAACACUCAGGUGGGGCUGUUCUCAAAUCUGUUUCCUUUCUCUGACGAAGUUACUAAUAUAUGACACAGGAACAUGCAUAUUUUAAAUAUCUGAGAACUGGCUUCCAUUGUUGGUGAUGUAUUAUAGAUUCCCUAAUCACAGAAUCAUCAAGGUUGGAAGAGACCUUCAAGAUCUUCUAGUCCAACCAUUAACCUACCACCACCACAAUCACCCCUAAACUGUACCCCCAAAUGCCACAUCCAGACAACUGUUGAACAGUUCCAGACGUGGUGGCUCCACCAGUUUCCCAGGCAACUUAUUCCAAUGCCUAACCAUUCUUUCAGUGAAAAAAAAUUCUAGUGUCUAAUCUGAACCUCCCAUAAGCAGAAACAGGAUCAUUUCUGUCAGAAUUGAUUUCUUUUCAAGCAUCAGACAAAGAGCAGAGGUAAAUAAUCUAUUCAGAAAAAGAUACUGAUUUCAGCAAUGAUACUGGGUUAGAAAGUUGCCUUCCACUGCAUUCAUUCACGUGACCCUUUGACAAUGACCCUGGAAGUGCAGACAGCUUGUGAAAAACGGAGGCUGUAAAGCUCCAAGGCUGCAUCUGAUAGUGCUAAAGAGACUGAAAUACAAUGUCAGGGCUCCUAAGAACGGUUGAAUUGUUCCUGAAUCACUGUGCCCGGGUUCUGACUGCUUUACACUGUCAGGGAGAGCAUGUGCCUGAAGUUUUGAGAUCAGGGAAGGAUAAUGGAAAGAACCAGCAAGGAUCAUAGCCCUCAUAGUUACAAAUGUGUUUCCUCUCUAUUUCCAGGGUAAUGAUAAGGGCUUGGAGAUGGUUUCCAGGUCGUUGUGACUCAACAGCAUUUCUUGAAAGGAGAAGAAAAGGGAGAAAACUUAAAUUCCAUGUGAAGCAACUGAAAAUAGAAGCCAUAGUUACAAAUAAAUCCUGCAGCCCCUUGCUAAACUGAACCAAUGUUUAAGCUUUUAAGAACUGCCCCAUGCUUCAAGUGCCAAUAUCUCAUUUUGAUUAUUCAGGUAAGACAUUGAGCCUUGGGGAGAAGACAUGACCUCAUCACCUCCAAUAAUUUUGUUGAGUUCUACAGAACUGCUGCAGCAUUGGCUACAGUAGUUAUAGCAACAGUAUUAAUGACCCUGUAAAUGCUUCUGGGCCAUUUUGGAUACUGCAAGAUGACGAUAUAGAAAAACGAAUAAGUUAUUUUAAGCUGGAAAAAGCAGACCAAGAAUAUUAUGUUGAUGACAUGACUAGAGACCUAGAAAUCUCUAAAGAAAUUUGUGAUGGGAACUAAAUAUCCUGCUUCUCAACCAUUUCUCUAACCACUGAAAUAUAUCCACAAAUCUUUUGGGAAGAAGACUACUGAUUUUUAAGCUCUUAAAUCAAGAUCAUCUCUGUAAUGUCAGAACAUUAUUGACUUAAUGAUUUAUUACUUGUAGAAAAGAAUAAAUACAUUUCUCAAGAUGAAUACAAAAUGUAUUUGCAGAACGAUCUUUAUG